GAUUUUCAAUGGGGUCCCUUGACCUCUGAUCUCAAGACAUAAAGACAUUUCCACCAUAACUUGAUGCAGAAAAGGCAGAAAUUGGUGCAUAAGAAUUCACCAGAACGCAGGAAAUGUAGUGUCUGACGCUCAAAAUUUCCUGGGGGAAGACCCCCAGACACCUCGCUUAAUAUGCGUGUCCCCCCAAUUUUGAAACCAAACCUACACCCUUGACUGCACACGUCACAUUCUCAUUAGGGGCUGAGCCCCCCUGAAGGUCUGAUCCUAGAAUCGCCCCUGCAUAUGGGGAGGUUACCUGAAAACAAUUUGACAGCGUUAUAAGAUGUAACUGGCAGUUACGUGAAUGUGAAUUUCAUGCUAAUUGGAUACGUGGAUGAGGAAAUAAAGGACAACCUAAUAGCUUACCGCAAAAAGGGAUUUUAUAUCUGCAUGUAGCUUUAAUCUCCCAGACUCCAGCAAUUUUCUGUCUGUUUAGAUCAUCUCCUUCUCUUCUACCUUUCUCUCCCUCACUCUCCCUCUCUCUCUCUCUCUCUCUCUCUCUCAUUGCUACUGUCAACAAAGAAUGUGCAGGCUUCCCACAGGCCCUAAAGGAAUCUCUCACACUGCACUCACAUAAUCACUUCAGACCCGGCUGUUUAGGCCGACAUCUCCACUGGGACUUACCAGCCGCUCGCUGCAGGCCAAAUCACACCGCUGAGUAAAAAAAAAAUAAAAAAAUCAACUGCAACAGUGAAACAAAGAAGUGCAAGUCAGACAGAGGAGCGUGACCAGUCUGAGAACAUCAAGCACUCGUCUUUUGGUGGCUGAAUGUCACACUCUCCUCCUUCAGUAAUGGGAUGAUUUGGUGCCCUCCUGUAUGAGAAUGAUAGACUUUAAGAGGCUUCCUUCAAGAACGCAAUAUACACCCACAUAUUGUGUAUAUGAACAGUGUCGGUAGGUCAAGCAUGAGUCUUUCACUGCCAUAAGACCAGUUUAA